CAUGAAUUGAUAUGCAAUAUUAAAUCUUGGCAACACUUACCAGAUUUGUUUUCGCACCAUCCGCACGCGACGGCACCGACGCACCAUUUUUGUUUGAAUUUUUCCGUCUUUGUGUUCAGGUCAAGAGCAAUUCAUCAAAUACUACACCGGAAAACCUAUUAACAGGCGAGAUUGCCGGUUCUGCAAUCAGGAACCGGGUUUAUCCGCAGUUUUCAUUUGCGUUUCGCUGCGAGCCACUGGAAACCGAUUUCUGAUUUGCCGUCGGCAAAACUAGGCAAGCGAAGUCCAGGACCGGGUCAACCAUCCAAUUUUGAACUCCGCCAGAAUACGCGUAUGAAGUCUUUCUUGAUCACCGACCUCUGUGUCGCUCGGUUCUAUACUUUAAAAGGUGUAUCAAGGUAAUUCAUCUGGAACUGACCUGCGAGUUUCAAGUGAAAAUCAAUACACCUGUCGCCAAUUCACUGGAUCAGAGGUUCGUAUUCACGAUGACUCGCUGUCCCUGUCAUUACAGUUGAUAGCUACACAUGGACAGCAAAUCAAACGAGCUGAUAGCGGCUACUCAGAAGAACCUCU